AAGACAGUUUCUAUUAUUUUCCCUCACCGUUAAAUAGACUUCCAAUAAAAUGUUACUCUAUGAUGUUUGAAAUAAGAUGUUCAUUUUUCCUUUACAGAACCAACACGCAACAGUCAGACACCAGGUGGCGCCGCAGACCAGCCAGAAAAGAAAGUGAAACAAGUGCAAGGAAUGUUCAGAAGGUGCAAAGAACAACUGCGAGAUACUCAGUUUCUGAUUUCAGUGCUCACCUGGAAAGAAACUUGACGCCAUAAACUUAUAUGGGCUACUAUUGUCACAGCAGGGGGCAGGAGGAUCUUGACUUCUAAGGUGGAAGCCCAGGACCCAGCUCCAUCAAUCAUGUCUCUACUCCUGGA
rnacentral:lncRNA from 1 species